rnacentral:rRNA from 1 species
AGAGUUUGAUCCUGGCUCAGGACGAACGCUGGCGGCGUGCCUAAUACAUGCAAGUAGAACGCUGAAGAGAGGAGCUUGCUCUUCUUGGAUGAGUUGCGAACGGGUGAGUAACGCGUAGGUAACCUGCCUUGUAGCGGGGGAUAACUAUUGGAAACGAUAGCUAAUACCGCAUAACAAUGGAUGACACAUGUCAUUUAUUUGAAAGGGGCAAUUGUUCCACUACAAGAUGGACCUGCGUUGUAUUAGCUAGUAGGUGAGGUAAUGGCUCACCUAGGCGACGAUACAUAGCCGACCUGAGAGGGUGAUCGGCCACACUGGGACUGAGACACGGCCCAGACUCCUACGGGAGGCAGCAGUAGGGAAUCUUCGGCAAUGGGGGCAGCCCUGACCGAGCAACGCCGCGUGAGUGAAGAAGGUUUUCGGAUCGUAAAGCUCUGUUGUAAGUCAAGAACGGGUGUGAGAGUGGAAAGUUCACACUGUGACGGUAGCUUACCAGAAAGGGACGGCUAACUACGUGCCAGCAGCCGCGGUAAUACGUAGGUCCCGAGCGUUGUCCGGAUUUAUUGGGCGUAAAGCGAGCGCAGGCGGUUUGAUAAGUCUGAAGUUAAAGGCUGUGGCUCAACCAUAGUUCGCUUUGGAAACUGUCAAACUUGAGUGCAGAAGGGGAGAGUGGAAUUCCAUGUGUAGCGGUGAAAUGCGUAGAUAUAUGGAGGAACACCGGUGGCGAAAGCGGCUCUCUGGUCUGUAACUGACGCUGAGGCUCGAAAGCGUGGGGAGCGAACAGGAUUAGAUACCCUGGUAGUCCACGCCGUAAACGAUGAGUGCUAGGUGUUGGAUCCUUUCCGGGAUUCAGUGCCGCAGCUAACGCAUUAAGCACUCCGCCUGGGGAGUACGACCGCAAGGUUGAAACUCAAAGGAAUUGACGGGGGCCCGCACAAGCGGUGGAGCAUGUGGUUUAAUUCGAAGCAACGCGAAGAACCUUACCAGGUCUUGACAUCCCGAUGCUAUUUCUAGAGAUAGAAAGUUACUUCGGUACAUCGGUGACAGGUGGUGCAUGGUUGUCGUCAGCUCGUGUCGUGAGAUGUUGGGUUAAGUCCCGCAACGAGCGCAACCCCUAUUGUUAGUUGCCAUCAUUCAGUUGGGCACUCUAGCGAGACUGCCGGUAAUAAACCGGAGGAAGGUGGGGAUGACGUCAAAUCAUCAUGCCCCUUAUGACCUGGGCUACACACGUGCUACAAUGGUUGGUACAACGAGUUGCGAGUCGGUGACGGCGAGCUAAUCUCUUAAAGCCAAUCUCAGUUCGGAUUGUAGGCUGCAACUCGCCUACAUGAAGUCGGAAUCGCUAGUAAUCGCGGAUCAGCACGCCGCGGUGAAUACGUUCCCGGGCCUUGUACACACCGCCCGUCACACCACGAGAGUUUGUAACACCCGAAGUCGGUGAGGUAACCUUUUGGAGCCAGCCGCCUAAGGUGGGACAGAUGAUUGGGGUGAAGUCGUAACAAGGUA